rnacentral:tRNA from 1 species
GGUAAAAUGGCUGAGUUUAGGCGAUAAAUUGUAAAUUUAUUUACGAGAUAUAUUCUCUUUUAUCA